UGCGUAGGUGGUUUCUUAAGUCAGAGGUGAAAGGCCACGGCUCAACCGUAGUAAGCCUUUGAAACUGGGAAACUUGAGUGCAGGAGAGGAGAGUGGAAUUCCUAGUGUAGCGGUGAAAUGCGUAGAUAUUAGGAGGAACACCAGUUGCGAAGGCGGCUCUCUGGACUGUAACUGACACUGAGGCACGAAAGCGUGGGGAGCAAACA
rnacentral:rRNA from 1 species